GUAGGUGGCAAGCGUUGUCCGGAAUUAUUGGGCGUAAAGCGCGCGCAGGCGGUUCUUUAAGUCUGAUGUGAAAGCCCACGGCUCAACCGUGGAGGGUCAUUGGAAACUGGAGAACUUGAGUACAGAAGAGGAAAGCGGAAUUCCACGUGUAGCGGUGAAAUACGUAGAGAUGUGGAGGAACACCAGUGGCGAAGGCGGCUUUUCUGGUCUGUAACUGACGCUGAGGCGCGAAAGCGUGGGGAGCAAACAGGGAUUAGAUACCCUGGUAGUCCACGCCGUAAACGAUGAGUGCUAAGUGUUAGGGGGGUUUCCGCCCCCUUAGUGCUGCAGCUAACGCAUUAAGCACUCCGCCUGGGGAUACGGCCGCAAGGCUG
rnacentral:rRNA from 1 species